rnacentral:rRNA from 1 species
GGUUAAUAUUCCCGUACUUGGUGUUACUGCGAAGGGGGGACGGAGAAGGCUAUGUUGGCCGGGCGACGGUUGUCCCGGUUUAAGCGUGUAGGUGUGUGUUCCAGGUAAAUCCGGUUCACUUUAACACUGAGGCGUGACGACGAGGCACUACGGUGCUGAAGCAACAAAUGCCCUGCUUCCAGGAAAAGCCUCUAAGCAUCAGGUAACAUCAAAUCGUACCCCAAACCGACACAGGUGGUCAGGUAGAGAAUACCAAGGCGCUUGAGAGAACUCGGGUGAAGGAACUAGGCAAAAUGG